rnacentral:rRNA from 1 species
UACGGAGGAUCCACGCGUUAUCCGGAUUUAUUGGGUUUAAAGGGUGCGUAGGCGGCUUAUUAAGUCAGGGGUGAAAGACGGUGGCUCAACCAUCGCAGUGCCUUUGAUACUGAUGAGCUUGAAUACACUUGAGGUAGGCGGAAUGUGACAAGUAGCGGUGAAAUGCAUAGAUAUGUCACAGAACACCAAUUGCGAAGGCAGCUUACUAAGGUGCAAUUGACGCUGAGGCACGAAAGCGUGGGGAUCAAACAGG